AAUCAAGAGCCAGCCCGGUUUCUGCAAGCACACAGGAGCAGAAGAGAAACCAGUGAAGACUUCACCGCUGCAUAUCAGGCCAGCGACGGCUGCUCGGUGACGGCGCUGCUCUGCCACCAAGAAAAACCCCAAACCCACUGAUCCCACAAAGAGGGGAGAAAAAGGAAGGCUUCAUGCUGAAGAAGGAGAAAUACAAACGUGUAUGUGCCGGUUUGCCUCUGGUCGUUACCGUGGAGGCAUUCACACGCCUGUCCAUUUGGCAUUAUUAUGAGCGAUCCCCAGACAGAAGAACUUAAGGUCAAGUUUUACAGAGAUAACCAAGGACAUCUUAAAGGAGACAGGCUGUGCGAUCAUUGGAAGAGGGAAGCUGUGGAUCUUGCAUUCAUGCAUUUGGAUGAAGAUGACACUGGAAACUGCACGUUGCAGGUUGAGGUGGCCAAGUAUCAACGGAAUGGGAAAUAUGAGGCUUCAGGAAGGAAGUGCGCGAACCACAGGAAGGCUCCGUCUCUACGGCAGAAGCGGCCACGCCGCAGCCCAUCCAAACGCCGCGACACGAGUGAGUUGUCCUCAUCGAACACAUUUCAUCCUGUGGAUUUUGAGGAUGGCCAGAGAAGACCUUCAAGGAGAGUCAAGUUUGGACCAACUCGGAGGCUCAUUGUCUUUGACAGACACCCAGCUGGUGAACCUGUGUCCUGGAGGAAUGCAGGAGCAGCUGCUCAUUGUAUUCAAACCUUUGAUGGAAGGUGGUUUGAAUGAUAAUGGUUGAACAGACUCCAAGGCUGAGAGGACGGGCGGGCGGCUUCCUUCAGUGUCCCUGAGGCCAACACACUCAGUGCUCCGAUUCCACAGAGGGGGACUUUGGGUGGUGCUGGGGGCGUUGAGGAAGAAGGGCCCCUGGGCACAGCCAGCAGUGCUGUCCUCAGUAGUGAUGACAAGGAGGAGGAGGAAAAGGGAAAAGAGGAGGAUAUGAUGACAAAGAUGAUAUUUAAUCCCUCAAACUUGCUUUUAGGGAAGUUCCUCCAUCUGCAUGUGGCUGUGUGUCAGGGUGAUUAUUAGUAGGGUUACGUGAACACGGCACAGUGGUACAAUGCCAUCAGACUAAAUUUUUUAAAAGUUUUAAAUUUUCAUUGUAACUGGCAAUUAAUGAUUUUUAAAUUAUUUUUAUUUAUUUAUUUGUUUUUUGAGACAGGUCUCAUUCCGUCACCCAAGGCUGGAGUGCAGUGGUGUGAUCUCAGCUCACUGCAACCUCUGCCUCCCAGCUCGAGCGAUUCUCUCACCUCAGCCUCCCAAGUACCUGGGACUGCAGAUGUGUGCCACCACACCUGGCUAAUUUUUUUUUUUUUUUAUAGGGUUGGGGUUUCGCCAUGUUGCCCAGGCUGGCCUCAAACUGCUGAACUCAAGCAAUCUGCCCAUCUUAGCCUCCAAAAAUGCUGGGAUUCCAGGUGAGAGCCAUCACGCCUGGCUAUUUUUAAAAAGAGUCUUGCUCUGUCAUCCAGGCUGGAGUGCAGUGACACAGUCAUGGCUCAUUGCAGCCUUGAACUCCUGGACUCACGUGACCCUCUUGCUUCAGCCUCCUGAGUAGCUGGAAUUACAGGUGCGUGCCACCAUGCCUAACUAAUGUAUAUUUUUAAAUUUUUUGUAGAGAUGGGUCUCAUUAUGUUGCCCAAGCUGGUCUUGAACUCCUGGCCUCAAGCAGUUAUCCCAUCUCAGCCUCCCAAAUUGCUGGGAUUACAGGCAUGACCCACAGUGCCCAGCCAUUAAUUUUUUUUUUUUUUUUUUGACGGAGUCUCGCUCUGUCACCCAGGCUGGAGUGCAGUGGCACAAUCUCGGCUCACUGCAAGCUCUGCUUCCCAGCUUCACGCCAUUCUCCUGCCUCAGCCUCCCGGGUAGCUGGGACUACAGGCGCCCGCCACCAGACCCGGCUAAAUAUUUGUAUUUUUAGUAGAGACAGGGCUUCACUGUGUUAGCCAGGGUGGUCUCGAUCCGCCACCUCAGCCUCCCAGAGUGCUGGGAUUACAGGCGUGAGCCACCGCACCCGGCCUCAGACAACAUGACUUUAUUACUGGAAACCAACUAAGAAAAAAUUAUGAUUAGGAGGAGAAAACAGCAAACGGUCGGGGUCAAAAACCAAUAUUCAGCAAUCAAUAGCUUUUACCAAUCAAAAGAACUUUUAGAAGAUAUAAUUGAAGACAAAAUCCUAUUUAUAAUAGCAAACAACAGCAAAAGCAAGGAAUGAACUUAGUCAAUGUGCACUGCCUGUAGGAGAUGACCUCGUGAUCGGCAUGCCCGCCUUGGCCUCCCAAAGUGCUGGGAUUACAGGAGUGAGCCACUGUGCCCAAAAAAAUAAAUUUUGUAAUGUUUCACUUAACAAAAGAGAUACAUUCUGAGAAAUGUAUCAUUAAGUGAUUUCAUAAUUAGUUGAUUUCAUUGUCACGCAAACAUCAUAGAAUGCACUUACACAAACCUAGAUGGUACAGCCUACUACACACCCAGGCUUUAUGGUAGAGCCUAUUGCCCUUGGCUAUAAACCUGUAGAGAUGUUACUGUACUGAAUACUGUAGGCAACUGUAACACAAUAAUAGGUAUCUCUGUAUCUAAACAUGGAAAAGGUACAGUAAAAUUACUGUAUUAGUCCAGGUGCAGGCAGCUCAUGCCUGUAAUCUCAGCACUUGGGGAAGCUGAGGUGGGUGGACUGCUUGAGACCAGGAGUUCAAGACCAGCUUGGGCAACAUAAUGAGAUCCUGUCUCUACCAAAAAUUAAAAUAAUUAGCCAGGCGUGGUAGCAUGUGCCUGUAGUCCUAGUUACUAGGGAUGCUGAGGCAGGAGGAUCACUUGAGCCUAGUGAGGUAUGAUCAUGCCACUGCACCCAGCUGGGGCAACAGAGUGAGACCUCAUCUAUAAAAAUAAUAAAAUAAAUCUUAAAUAAAUUUUAAUAAACAAAACAUGGCAUUAUAAUCUUAGGGGACCACCAUCGUACAUGCAGUCCAUCACUGAUUGAAACAUCAUGCAACAUAUAACCAUAUAUGUUAAUGGCUGUUCAAUUAAAACUUCAUAGUCCUAAUGUAAAUUUAAAAAGACAAAGAAGAAAAUUAAGCAACAGGCCCAGAUUCAACUUUUCUAUGAAAAAUAGAAACUGUCAUGUUGAGUCAUAAAAUAAAAAAACUAGCAAAUCCAGCUCUAUGCUCAGAGAAUUACCAGAAAAUAAAAUUACAUGAAGCUUGAAUAUAGGGAGAUGGAAAGAUAUUAGACAAAUAUUAAAGAAAAUCUGGGCCAGGUGUGGUGGCUCACACCUGCAAUCCCAGCACUUUGGGAGGCCCAAGGUGGGAAGAUUACUUGAGGCAAGGGGUUUGAGACCAGCCCGGGCAACAUAGUGAAACUCUGUCUCUUUAAAAAAGAAAGAAAAGAAAAGAAAGAAAGAAAAGAAAAUCUCAGUGAGUGAUGGUCAGAAUAGAAUUCAACAUAACAAGCUCAUUAUUAAAAUAUUUGAUCUCACUGUGUACAAUUCUGAAGACACUCAUUCAUGUACUUCAUUAAAUAUUUCUAGUUUGCUAAAAAUAGAAUUACCCUUCAACCCAGCAAUCCCAUUACUGGGUAUCUACCAAAAGGAAAAAAAAAAUCAUUCUAUGAAAAGAUGCCUGCACUUGUAUGUUCAUCACAGAACUAUUUACAGUAGCAAAGACAUGGAAUCAACCCAGGUGCCCAUCAACAGUGGACUGGAUAAAGAAAGUGUGGUACACGGACGCCAUGGAAUACUAUGCAGCCAUAAAAAAACAUGAAAUCCUGUCCUUUGCAGUAACGUGGAUGCAGCUGGAGGUCAUUAUCCUAAGUGAAUCAACACAGAAACAAAACCAAAUUCCCCAUGUUCUAACUUAUAAGUGGGAACUAAACAUUGGGUACACAGGGGUGAAAAGACGGGAUCAAUAGAUGCUGGGAAUCCAAAAGCGGGAAGGAAGGGAGGAAAGGAAGUGUUGAAAAACUAUCUAUUGGGAACUAUGCUCACUGUUUGGGUGAUGGGAUCAAUAGAAGCCCAAACCCCAGCGCCACCCAAUAUUCCCCUGAAACAGUACUGGCCAUGUGCUCCUUAAAGCUAAAAUUAAAAACAAACAAAAAACAGAAAGAAAAAAGUAUCCCCAGGUAGCUAUGUUGUAAUUUUAUUUCAUGACAGCACCAUCUUCUCUUUGCCUGCGCCUGGGCCUCCUAGUGUGCUGCUUACGUGAUGCCCACGUGCCACAGAGUUAUUGCCCGAAGUGCCAGUGGGCUGUGCAGGGGAUGGGCUCUUCCUUCCAGAUGGUCUGCAGCCUCUGGGACCACGCAGCCACCAUCCCCUUUCUUUCUUCUUCGGAUGCAAUUUCAGGAGCAAAGCUGAUCUGAGGGGCAAGGACUUUAAAUCCACAGAAGUGUAAUGUGCCAUGCUAAAGCCACAGGGGAAGAAAAGAACUCAUUAGAAACUACACCUGUUACAUACCAUUCAGUUAAAUGAUUUAAGGGGGGAAAUGGUGUGAAACAAACCUUCAAAAAAUCAUGAAACAACCUUAAUGUUACAGGCAACUGAAAGCUAAACUUCCCUAUGGCUUUAGGACACAGCCUUGCAUAAGAGCCGUGAAGAACUUGGGGCAGUUGCAAUUUCCAAGCUCUAUUUUUAUAACUGCAAUUAACCUACAAUCUUUGCAACUGAUUCAGAUGCCAAACAUUAUAGUUCUGCUUGAUUGGGCAAAUUAUGGUACAUUCACACUAUAGAUUAUUCCAGAAUGAGGUUAUUCUAGCUAUAAUAUAUACCAUGGAAGUUUGUUCAAGAUAUCUGUUAAAUGAAAAUAACAAACAAAUUUUAAGCCGUAUUUAUGAUAUACCAUUCAUGUAAAAGAGCAGUAAAUGUAAUAAACCUAUAAUAAAAAUUAUGUAUGUGAGAAAAUAUAUAGGCCCUAAGAAAAUAAA